rnacentral:lncRNA from 1 species
UCUCUCUCCCCCUGGGCUCUUUCCGUCAUCUCUUCUUUUCAGCUAAUAUACUCAUUAAUUUAAUAUAUCUGUUAAUGUACUAAUAUUAUUUGUUAUAUUAUUGAAAAUAGGUCCAUAUCUGAUUUUUCCUAAAAUCAUCAGGCCUAAGCUUGAUCCAAAGCUCGAAAAAAAUUUUCGAAUCGGGCUCAAUUAGAGAUAGUGCCCGACCCAACCCGACCCAUUUGCAAUGCUACUC